rnacentral:lncRNA from 1 species
ACAGGGGACCGUGUGGUUUCCCCCUUGUUCUGUCGAUCAGAAGCAUGGUUGGUGCGGUGUUGGCCAGUGUCAGGAGGGGCUGCGAUGGUGCAGGUCGGAAGAAGUCAGACCGACGGUCGGUGGUGACCACCGACACUGAAAAACCAAAGAAAAGAGAGGCAAAAAUAGGGGACUUUUUCCCUAACAAAAUUCAAUGAAUCUGAUCGCCGACGAUCAUGCACACAGGCAAGGAAAGGAAGGGAGAGAAAAGAGGAAGAGAAGUUGGGACUUACCUCGAGCUCUGAUGACCUCUCCGAUGAG